AAGACUAUACUUUCAGGGAUCAUUUCUAUAGUUUCUGACUUGAGAAAUGUGUUUCUAAAGCGUAUGGUCUCGCUAACCACGAUGAUGAGUCAUGAUGUUCCUUUCUGAGCAUGAACUGGGCAGAGAAUAAUGAUUCAGGUCAUAUGUUCUCUGUCAUUGAUGAUUGCUCUUUGCUUCUCUGUGAAGUAUUGAGGAAGGGAGCAUGUUCAGAGUGGUA
ensembl:snoRNA